CGUUCGGCUUGCAAGGGAUACUGUCGGCCUUGGGGCCGGGAGAGGUCGGAGGUACUCCGGGGGUAGCGGUGAAAUGCUGUAAUCCCCGGGGGACCACCAGUGGCGAAGGCGUCCGACCAGAACGGACCCGACGGUGAGGGGCGAAAGCUUGGGGAGCGAACGGGAUUAGAUACCCCGGUAGUCCAAGCCGUAAAGCAUGCGGGCCGGGUGUAGAGCGUCCUUAGAGGGCGCUCGGUGCCGUAGGGAAGCCGUUAAGCCCGCCGCCUGGGAAGUACGGUCGCAAGGCUGAAACUUAAAGAAAUUGGCGGGGGAGCACCACAAGGGGUGGGACCUGCGGUUCAAUUGGAUUCAACGCCGGACAACUCACCAGGGGCGACAGUUGGUUGAAGGCCAGGUUGACGACCUUGCCGGACUAGCUGAGAGGUGGUGCAUGGCCGUCGUCAGCUCGUACCGUGAGGCGUCCUCUCAAGUGAGGCAACGAGCGAGACCCUCGCCCUUAGUUGCCAUCGGUUAAACGCCGGGCACUCUAAGGGGACCGCUGGUGCUAAACCAGAGGAAGGAGAGGGCGACGGUAGGUCCGUAUGCCCCGAAUCCCCUGGGCUACACGCGGGUCACAAUGCGCAGGACAAUGAGAUGCGACCCCGUAAGGGGGAGCCAAACUCCUAAACCUGCGCUCAGUUCGGAUCGAGGGCUGUAACUCGCCCUCGUGAAGCUG
rnacentral:rRNA from 1 species